rnacentral:lncRNA from 1 species
UGGAUAGACUUCAAAGAAGAGGACUACAACUUCCAAAUCGCUGCUUCCUGUGUGGUUGUGAGGAAGAAAGUGUAAAUCAUAUCCUUAUACACUGUACAGUGGUUAGAGCUCUAUGGGAUAUAGUGUUUGGUUUAGUAGACGUGAAAUGGGUUUUCCCAGAAACUGUAAAGGAGGUUUUAGUUAGUUGGAGGGGUUCGUUUGUGGGAAAGAAAAGGAAAAAGACUUGGGAUGCUAUUCCGUUGUGUAUUUUUUGGACGGUGUGGAAGGAGAGGAAUAGAUUAGCUUUUAGGGGGGGGUAAUUGAACGUUCAGAAGUUAAAGAAUUUUUUUGUUUGUAAUUUGUGGAGUUGAGCCAAACUGUAUGUAGGUGAGGAGGCGUUCUCCCUUAUAGGCUUCCUAGAGUGGAUAGCUUCCACUUAAAGGGAGGUGAUUUUUUUUUUUGUUGUUUUUUGAGGCUUUAGCUGCCUUGUAUACCCCCUGUAUGCUUUGUGGCGUUUUGCCUUUUGAAUGAAUAUCCUUUACUUAUCAAAAAAAAAAAAAAAAAGUCUAUUUAGGCUUUUCAAGUUUGUAUGGGGAUAAAGCCCUUAGGCCAAAUGGCUCAGUCUUUUUGGCAGUUUAGUUAUGAUUUUGUGAAAAGUGAAGUGAUGAGAUUUUUUAUGGAGUUCUUUGAGCUAAGCUCUUUUGAAAGAAGCCUUAAUGCCGCUUUUAUAUGGUGUUAAUUCCAAAAAAAAGGGAGACAAAAGAUUUAAAAGACUUAUUAGUUUUGGUAGGGGGCUUAUACAAACUUCCUGUAGAAGUCUUGGCUAACAAACUAAAGAAGUCAUUGGGCAAAUUUGGUUCAACUUCUUAACAUGCAUUUGUGGAGGGAAGGCAAAUCUUGGAUCUAGUCAUCAUAGCAAAUGAAGUAAUUAACUCAAGGCUAAGGAGCUUUGAAAGUGGGGUUAUUUGUGUGUUGGAUAUCAAGAAAGUAUAUGAUCAUAUUAAUUACGGUUUUUUUGCUUGUAGUCAUAAAAAAAAUUGGUUUUGGUUUCAAGUUUGNNNNNNNNNNNNNNNNNNNNNNNNNNNNNNNNNNNNNNNNNNNNNNNNNNNNNNNNNNNNNNNNNNNNNNNNNNNNNNNNNNNNNNNNNNNNNNNNNNNNAAAUUGGUUUUGGUUUCAAGUUUGUAAGGUGGAUGAAGUGGUGCACUUCUACGACUCACUUCUCUUUAUUGGUUAAUGGGACCCCAUGCGAAUUUUUCUAAAUACCAGAGGCUUGUGAUUGGGAGACCUUUUGUCCUCGUAUCUUUUCAUCAUGGCCAUGGAGGCACUCUCCUCUAUACCGAGUAAGGCUAAGAGAGAAGGCUUUGUAAAGGGUUUUUCAAUGUGUGGCUGAGUAGGAGAAGGAACAGAGGGGUCUUAAGGCAAUAUCGGGUUUAAAAAUCAAUUCGAAGAAAAAUGAGUUGGUCCCAGUGGGGCCGUCGUUGAUAUAGCGAGCACCCUCCCUACUAGUCAUUUUGGCCUUCUAUUGGGAGCCUCUUUUGGAUCUUAAUGGGUUUGGAAUGUGGUGGAAGAAAGGUUUCAAAAAUGGCUCACCAUAUAGAAAAGAUAGCAAGUACUUAUCAAAAAGGGACAGUUUAACUCCGAUGAAAAGCACUCUUUCUAAUUUGCCAAUUUACUUCAUGUUAUUAUUUGUCAUCUCGAGAAAAGUGAGUUUAAGGCUAAAAGAUAUCUAAUGGGACUUCAUUUGAGGGAAGGUGCUACGCAAAAAAAGCCUCAUUUAGUAAAUGGGUCAACGGUUUGCAUAGGCAGGAGGAAGGAAGGUUUAGGGAUUAGAAAUCUGUUCUAUCUCAAUAAAGCUCUUUUAGGUAUAUGGUGUUGGAGAUUUGCUAGUGAGAAGAACUUCUUGUGGAAGAAGGUGAUUAUAAGGAAAUGUGGGGAGGAAGAGAGGGGAUGGUUCUCAAUAGUACAUAAAGGCUUAGAAUGGGAGUGUGGAAGACAAUAAGAAGCAAAUGGGAGACUUAUAGCAAUAGAAUCAAUUUUAGGGUGAGCAAUGGGAGGGUGAAAUUUUGGAAGGAUAAGUGGUGUGGUGGCUUACUCCUUGGAGAGGCUUUUCCUGCAUUGUUUUCCACAGCCACUACAAAAGAUACUUGGGUAGUUAAGGUAUGGGAGUAGGAACAGGUGGAGGGUGUUUGGAAUCCUCUUUUUUCAAGACAAAUCCCUGAUUGGGAAGUAGAUGGGGUGGAGGAUUUAUUUAGGAGAUUGCAAUCACAAACAAUCGGUCGGGAGAUAAAGCAUAAAAUGGUUUUAUUGAAUGCUAAGAGUGGUAUAUUUUUAGUGAAACCUCUCUACUAUUCUCUAUCCAAUGGAAGUACAGAGACUUUCCCUUCCUGUAUUGUUUAGAAUUCAUGGGUUCCAUUGGGAGUCAACUUGUUUGGGAAGCAUAGGGAAGGAUAUGGACAUUGGAUCAGCUCAAAAGGUGGGAUGGAAGGUGCUAUAUGGAUGCUAUUUAUUUAAAGGAGGAGAAGAAACAGUUGACUACAUUCUCCAUUACUCGAAAACUGUCAUCUUGUGACAGUCGAUUUAUGCUUUAUUUAAAAUACAGUGGGUAAGGCAUUCCAUAGUAAGGAAUGCCGUCUUGAACUGACAUGGAUCCUUUGUUAUGAAAAAGAGGAAGAAAGCUUGAUCGUUGCUCUCUUAUGAUGUCUAUUCUGGAUCAUAUGGAAGAAGAGAAGCUGGAGAGUGUUUGAAAAUGCUGAAGAAGCCGAUUAACUAAUCAAACAAUCAUUCAUGUUGGAGGGUCGCGGCGUCCAGUCCCAGUCCGCACCAGCCACCCUCCUCACAGCUACUGUCGCCGCUGCCGACGGCGGUGAGGCAUGUAUAAUUUUUUGGAAGAGGGUUAGAGUGUGCGUAUGAGAUCACAAUUUAUCCAUAAUGGACUUCAUUGAUUCGUUGAGUUCUAUGUAGUGUGGGAGUUGUUUUUUUUGUGUAUUCCUCCACUUGGGGUGGCCUUUUGGUGCCUUUGUAUACACUGUAUAUAUGCUUUAGUGUGCCCUUUUAUUAUGUGUUGUUAAUAUAACGAACAUAAUGAUUAUUUGUCUAUCCAAAAAAUAAAAAAAGCCCUUGGUAUUUUCUAAGAAAGUCAACAAGUUCUUUUGGAAGUUGGUGCAUUUUCUUGUUUUCCAAACAUGUUUCUAAAUAGACUUAGCCAAAACCCUAGAUCAAAGUUGUGGACUAGCAGAAGAUAUGGAGAUUCCAGAAGGCAACCAUAGCCGAGAUAGUUCUAUAGGUUCCAUUCUAUGCUGAAUACCUUGGGGGUGGUUUAAGUUUAUUGGCAUCAACAAUAUUUGCAGAUUAGAGUAAACCAUGUGCUUUUUAUGAAGAGUCAUUCACUGUGGAAGGAAAUUUACUUUCCACUCUAUGCUGAAUACCUUGGGGUUGGUUUAAGUUUAUUGGCUUCGACAAUAUUUGCAGAUUAGAGUAAACCAUGUGCUUUUUAUGAAGAGUCAUUCACUGUGGAAGGAAAUUUACUAUGUAAGGGAAUGACUUAUAGCAUGUACACUUACAUUCUUUUCAUGGUAAUGAACUGAUGAGAGGUCAACUUUAAUGGAAAAUUAACCUUUUGGCAGUCUACAGAUUGAUCUGCAGCUGCAUUGUGUCUUCUAUUGUAGGAUGAGAACAUGUUUUAAGAUAGAAAGAUGAGUAUAUGUAGAAUUCUUUAUACCAGAAUCAAAUAUCUUUGGCAAAUCAGGCAUCAAUUUUCUCUGGACCACUGUGAACCAUCUGUCAGGGCCCUCCCACAAAGCUUUUGGCAUUAUUAAUUGUUGGAUGUGUCUCAUUUAAUCAUACGCUGUUUUUUGUGCAUCAGCAUUUUCCUGUAUCUUUUUCCUAUUCUUUUGUUUAGGAUAAAUUUAUUGUUGUUGGAAGUCCUUCCUUCGUCAGUAAGGGGCACUCUUUUGGGGUGUCAUGGUUCCUUUGUAGGAAGGAAACGUUAGAAGGUUUGGAGAGUGGCCCCACUUUGCAUUUUUUGGACAAUUUGGAAGGAAGAAACCAAAGAGAGUUGGACAGUGAGGAGCAGCUGGUUCAAGCAUUGAAACAAUCACUCCGUAGUAAUCUUUUGUCUUGGGGUACCUAUCAAAAAAUAAAAAAAUCUUUUGUCUUGGGGUUAGCAUGUACAGAGAAGUAGUCUGACUGUCUCUCAUUGAUUUUGUAGAUUGGGUGGGUUCUUGGUGGGGGAGGAAGUGGUUGUUUUUUGGUUGUCCAAUCCCUUUAUGGUUGUGCCUUAGUAUCAUCUGUAUAUGUCCUGUAUACCUUGAUGUAUAGCAUCCUUGUUUAUUUAUAAUAUUUACUCUUUUACUUAUCAAAAAGAAAAAAAAAACUUAUUAUUGUUGAAAAAAUUCAAAAUUAAAUUGUUUUUUAAAUUCUGUUUUAGUAGAUGCACACAAUGCAUGUUCGACAUAGAUCAUAUAGUUUAUAAAUUUGUUCUAUUUGCAGCAUCUGAGGUGGAUCCCAUGCACCUUCAGUAUUUCCGCUUCUCUGGUCGAGUGAUUGCAUUAGCUUUGAUGCAUAAAGUGCAAGUUGGUGUUGUCUUUGAUCGAGUAUUUUUCUUGCAAUUGGCUGGAAUGGAUAUUUCCUUGGAAGAUAUACAGGAUGCAGAUCCAUUAUUGUAUACUAGCUGCAAGCAAAUUCUGGAUAUGGAUGCAGAAUUCAUGGAUUCAGAUGCUUUGGGACUAACAUUUGUUAGAGAAAUCGAAGAACUAGGAUCCAGAAGAGUUGUGGAGCUUUGCCCUGGUGGGAAAAACAUCAUCGUGAACAGCAAGAACAGGGACGAAUAUGUUUAUCUUCUUAUUCGGCAUCGCUUUGUUACAUCUACCUCUGAACAGGUAGCACAAUUUGCUGGAGGCUUUGCUGAUAUUCUUUGUAACCAAAAGCUCCAGAAGUUCUUUUUCCAGAGUUUAGAGCUUGAAGAUCUUGAUUGGAUGCUAUAUGGAAGUGAAAGUGCUAUUUGUGUUGAUGACUGGAAGGCACAUACUGAGUACAACGGCUACAAGGAAACUGAUCCUCAGAUUUUCUGGUUCUGGAAGGUAUAUGCAUGCAAGAUUUCAUAUCUAUUUUAUUUUGAGGGGUAUUAGGUUUAAUAUUUCUUGAAAGGAUCUUAUUUCUUGGAGAUUAAUCAGCAUGCACGCAGCAUGAAUAUUAUUCUCUUUCCCAAAUAUUAUCUCGUUUUUAUUUGGUUUUCUUUUCUCCAGUUUUCAGGAUUUUCUCUGCAAUUUAAGAUUUUAUGAUAUUAGUGGAGGUUUGUAUGGUGUCAGGUCUUCCACACAAUGUGUAUCUUUUACUGCAGGCAAACCUUUCUUACAGUAUGGCAUCACUUUAUUUGUUGGGUGGCAGCACCAUUGGUCGGUGUUGCACUAAUGAUUGAUGCAAAAUUGUUAGGUUUUACUUGUAAAGUGGCUCUUGAAAGUUUGAAAUUUUAUUUAAAAUAGAAAUGGGUAUGCACCUCAUAAGGGAGUUGGGCAGAGAGAGACAUGUGCAUUGGAUAUACGCAUUUUUUCAUGUGAUGAGAAACUGUCGUAUGUGUUUGGGAGAGACAAGGGAGAGAACUCAUAGAAAGUAGAGGUCACAUGUUGAAGUAGUGCGAAAUGAUGAUGAUUAAUGGGUUAAUAUAAUAUUUUAGGCUUCAUUUUGUUGAUACAGGCAAUUGCUCACUGGAUAUAUACAUUUCUUUUACCUAAGAAGUAAUUAUCAUACAUAUUUGUAUAAGUGGGUUUUUGUUUAUGUAGAUAGGAACUCAUGAAAAAUAGGUAUUAUAAGCAAGCCCAAAAAGGUAACAUGUUGUAGUGGUUGUAAAAGAUGCCAGAUUAUGGUUUAACAGAAUUUAUGUCAUGGAUAGGCCCUUAGCCAAAAAAAUGUACACUUAGCCCGUUUGAAAUACUUUAUAAUAUCUAAUGCUUCAUUCUGUCGAUACAGACAUUUAUUCUGUCUCACCCUCUACACUACGUGUUGCAUAUCUAUGUGUGUGAAAAGAAGAGUUAUACAUCAAAAGACUACAAUCUGAAAUUACCAACUGUGUUUGGGAUGGCAGUGAUCUCUAUUAUCACCUGAUUACAAAUUUCUGUGGAUGCAAAGAACGUUUAGUGGGUGAUAUUAUAUUCUCUUUCUCUAACCAAUUAGAAGUGGGGUUUGGCUUUAAAGGCAGAGAUUCUGGCUGUUUUGGAAGGUUGAAAGAAGCAUUUCUUUGGGGCUGAGAAUGUUUCUGGAGAAGGGAUACUUUUGCAGAUGGUUGAUUGGAUCAAGCAGGGCAACUGAGUCUUUUGUGCUACUGUCAUUUGUUGUGAGAAGCUAGAUAUCUUGCCAUAGCUCUUUGUGUGGGUGCUUCCUGGGUUGAGAAAAGAUUAAUCAGGAGGAAAGAAUUGUUAGCGAAGAGGGUUGCCACCACAUUAGAGGCUUCUAGUUGGCACUUUACCUUCCUUGACAGAAGUUUUAAUUGGGUUGUGUCUGUGGUUGGCCGUCUUCUGUAUGGGGUUGUCUAAGAUGAGAUUUUUAUCUUUGAAAGGGCUUUGUCUGUCCUUGGAGGAAUUUUCCUUUUUCUCAUCUGCAGUACUUUCUUUGUGUGGGGGUUCCUUACAAUAAGGAAAAGCAUUAUUUGGUUUUAAUAUGAUGAUAGUUAUUCUAAUUGUCUACUUAAACUCCUGCAGAUUAUUGGCGAAAUGUCAGCAGAGCAGAGGAAGAUUCUACUCUUCUUUUGGACUUCGGUUAAGUAUCUACCUGUAGAGGGUUUUGGUGGUUUGGCUUCUCGUCUAUAUAUCUACAAGUCGUCAGAGCCCUGUGUUCGCCUGCCUUCAUCUCACACAUGCUUUUACCGGUUGAGUUUCCCACCUUAUCCAUCAAUGGCUAUCAUGGAAGAUCGGCUUCGCAUCAUCACCCAAGAACAUGUUGGAUGCAGCUUCGGUACCUGGUGAGCCAUCUAUUGCAUCUCAUUUUGGGAUAAGAAGGGUUUUUGACUGCACAGAGAGAUUUGUACCUCUGCAUGUACAGAUUAUAGGAUAAUCUUAUCUUCUUCUUCUUCUUUUUCCCCCUUUUUUCUUUUUUUCUUUUUCUAAUUCGACUAUGUAAGAAGGUUUCCCCCUUUAUCAAGCUCUUUUAUAUGGAGGUUGUAAUUCCUUUGCUCUUUUCAGUCAACUGUUUAUAUAGUUAUAGAAUUCCUUCAGUAAAAUAAGAAAAAGGAAGGCGAGAAGGAAAAAAGGAAUUUCCCUGCUUUAUUGGAUUACUUUUUAUGACAUGCAACAUAAACAGCUCUCUCUCUCUCUCUCCAUUUUCUGUCUUUAACAUAUUUCUCUGUAAAGCUAAUAUAGAACUUCUGUUUCAUUGUUACAUUCCCCUAGCUAGAAAAUAGAUUUGGCAACUUUAUGCUAUUGUAUGCAGUUCUCUUAUGAUCCACUUUGCUUCAUUUGUUCACGAGCAUCAUAUUUCAUAGCUCAUUCUUAGGUUAAAAAGAAACAGGUGAUCUGUCGUUUUACUGUGGGUAUCUGGAAAUUGUAGCAAGUCGCUUACCAUAAAAUAAAUGUCCUCUUUUCCGGCUCUUUUUGUUCUUGUAUUCUUUGGAUUUGUCACUGUUUUUACAUUCUACUACACAACGAAGCUGUUUGGUAAAGAGUGUGCAUUGUGCUUUACUGAAGCUUAUGUUGGUUUGGAAAGGUGUUUUCUGUUGGUGAUAUUUGUACUUCGCAGAACCUGGUCAUGUGGGCCUGUCAUUCACAUUAAAUCAUGUGAAGGCACAUGAUGCGGGACGCCUCCAGCCUUGGUAUGCAUGCUAUCGCUGCUUAAACAUUCUUAGGUUCCAGUCAUCAGUGUUUAUAUAUCCAAUGUACCUCCCUGACACAUCCAGAAUUUUCUCUUUUUUAUUUCAAUUGCCGUGCAACAUGUUUUCUCUUUUGCAGCAUGUAGCUGGCCAAUAGGGCUGUUUGGAAACUGUUUCUGAAAAUCAGUUUUCAAAAAGAGUUCUUUAAAACCACAAUAUAUAUAUUGUGUUUAUUUGAGAGUUUUCAAAAAUGGUUUUAUAAUGUUCUAAAGUCUGUUUUAAAAUGUUAGCCUAUUUAGAAAUUUGGAAUGUUUUUAGUUGUUUUUUUUUGUCAAAUAUUUUUUAAAAUAAUUUUACUUUCAAUCAAUUUUUUUUUGCAUUUAUAUGAUUAUUUUUAAAAUAACUUUCAAAAAAUAAAUGAAAAUAAUUAAAAUAUGUUUUCAUGUUUUGAAAACAAUGGAUCAUACUUGUUUUCAUCUUUUUUUCAAAAAAUGAUAAAAAACCAUUUUUAAAAACCAUUUCCACACAUUAGCCAUAGCUUUUUUUUUUUUUUUGAAUUAAAAAAUCAAGUUUGAUAAACUUUGAAAUGAAAUUUUUUUAAAGAAAAUGUUUUGAAAAUAGGAUUGUAAUUUAGAUUAACAGCAAGACUAUGGCUGAGUUCUGGCUAUCUGCUCGUGUCGAUAAUGAAUAUGGGACGAUCUAAUGUAUUAAAGAGAAUAAUAUAUAAUUAUCAUCAAAACGAGAAUAUAUCAUUAUUAUUAUUAUUAUUAUUCAAGGCUAGAGACAUCUCAACACACCAUAUCAAACUCAUGGACCCUCUUGAAACCAACAUCCCCUGCUACUGAAAAGUGGUGCAGUUCUAUGGUUUAGUCAUCUCCCAUUGAAGCUCCUAAGCACCAUGGGCAUAUUUGCCAAGUGGCAAAAUAUGCUGACGUGGAUCCAAGUAGGUUAUCUUAACUCUUAAGCUUCCAAACCCCAUUCAAAACCCUUUACCAUUCAUCAUAGCAAUAAAAAAGGACUAAAAUAAAACUAGUAACUUAAUUCCCAACUUUGACAUGCAAACCCUAAAAAAGAGUACCCCACCAUCACCCCCACCACCACUGCUGCUGCCUUCACUAGGUAGAUCUAUUCCUCAAUCUUCUCGACAGGAACCUCUGUGCUGGCUUCCUCUGCUGCUUCAGCUGGUUUGGCUUCUUCUUCUUCCUUGGCGGCAGCUUCCUCUGCUGGGGCUGCAGCUGCCUCCUCAGUAGUCUCUUCUUUGGCCUUCUCAACAGCGGCUUCUGCCUCCACUGCUGGAGUCUCUCCUUCGGUUUUCUCUGCUUCUGCCUCCUCAACCGCGGCUUCCUCUACAACCUCCUUUGUCUCAACUUCAACUUCAACAGGAGCUUCAGCUUUGGCUUCAGCUUCAGUGCCGCUGCCUCCUCCACUGGAAGCCCUCUUCCUUUGUUUCUUCAGUAACUGGCUCUGGAGCAGCGGUGGAGCUCUACUCUUUUACGGCUCCCUCUUCCACCUUGUUCAAUUCCUCGGUUUUUUCAUUCUCCGGCAAUGCUGUGGUGACUGAUGCAACCUGCAUAAAUCCCGUUUGACGUUAAACAAAUAACCCUCUGAUGGAAAUUACUGAGACAAUACUUUGUCACGAAUAAAAAAAUAUUCAUAGGAAAAACAAUGAAUUAACGUUGAUGCCAAUAAUUAUAGCCAAAAAAGUAAGCCGCCAAUAUCAGAGUGAGCAUAAAAUAUCCAAUUCAGAUAUUAUAUGGUUUAAAUGAAUCUCUCAUUCUUAUUCUAACUUUGAAUGAAAUGAGGUUUCAUUGGCAUUGCAAAAAUGAUGAGAGCUAUUUCUAUAUCAAAUGAAUGGGAUCCAAUCAUGUUGGUUGCCAUUACUUUUUUCUGGAUCAAUAUUUGAUCAAGCUCCAUGAUGAUCAUAAUAUUGAUCCAUUCAUACUGUGCCAUGCACUCCAGUUUUGCAUAUUCUAAAACUGGGUGAUCACAAAAUGAUGGAUUCUGCUUCUGAUCCAUUCAUUCAUCUAGACCCAGAUGAGGAUUUUACAAACAAGAACUGGGUUAUUCAGAAAAUAGUGAAAUGAUACUCUAAAAAACACCUGGAUCAUCAACAAAUAGAAAAGAAACUUCUAGUGAAAAUUACGCUAGAAGUAAAUCUUUAGUAAGAAACGGAGAGACAGAAAGCAAAAGCUGUCAGUUGAGUCUGUUGAGAGGUACCUCAACAGUGGCCAUGGCAAAAUGAAAGGGAAGUGUUGUGACUGAUCGACUCGAGAAGAGAAAAGCGAAGGGAGUUGGGAGCUAGAGCCUAAGAGAAGGGGUAGUUGUGAGCGAGGUGAAGAGAAGGAGAAUGACAGCUAUAUAUAUAUAUGGAGAAGUAAAUGCAUUGCAGCAAUAAAAGUAUUAAUAAGGAGGAGAGAGAGAGAGAGAGAGAGAGAGAGAGAGAGAGAGGAGUGGAGGAAUCUUGGCAAAUUGACAUCCCAGCCACAUCACUGACAAAAAAGGGCCAUUGGGGAUGUCUAGUCUCUGAAUAAAGUAUUUUUAGGUGAAAGUUUGUAUAUAUAUUUAAAAUUACCAUUAUUAUAGUAAAUAAUUUUGUAUACAUUGAAAUUGAAAUGCCAUAUGGUGGAGGCCAUUUCCCAUAUCAGCUACCAACUAGCCUUUUUUAGUGGGUUUCGCUGUGUUUUGUGCAGUAGGGCAACUAGGUGACUACCAUCAUGCAUUCAUGUUGGCAUUUCAUUAUUUUUUGUUUCUUCUCUUUUAACCAUGUCCUCUCCAAGAUUUACCCCCCUUGCUCCACGGGAUCGCUUUGAAAUCUACAAAUUCCCUUCAUUUUUAAGUUUCAAUCGUACUCAUCAAAAGAAUUAUUAACGUACGCUUAAAAUAUAACUUAGACACCAUUACAAUAUAAUUUAUCCCACUUUAAAAUAUUACUUUAUUAUAAUAAUUUUCAAUAUAUCUAAGCUUGUAGAGAAGAUCGAUUUAUUAUCUUUAGAGUAACUUUUAUAUGUUGAUUCGAUGAAAUUUCUUUCACGUUCGAUAACGGAAGGAUUGUCUUAUAAGACUUGUUUGAAAUCGUUUAUCUAAGACCAUCUCUUAAUAAUAUAAUUUUAACAAUUAAAAUUUUGAUUUUUAUUGUAUAUGUUAACCAAGAAUUAUUAGUAUGUCAAAUAUUUGAAUUUUUUUUUUUCUUUCAUCAAAUCAUUAUUACCCUAAUUCAAAGCUCUUGGACACUUUAGUGGUUGUACUGACGUUGAGAAAAGUUGUGUCCAAAGUGUAAUUGUAAAACACAAUGUUUAAGGUUUGAAGCAUUUGAAGAACGGACAGGAGGCAAAAGCCAAGGUGGGUGGGGUCCAGGGCGGUGCCGAAACGUGGGACCCAUACCAUCAAGGAUGAUCAUGAACCUAACCCAUGGGCCCACCAAAAAUUGAAAAUAAAAUAAAAAUUUUGCCGUGGCCAACUUUUCUUUCUUUGUUUCAACCACAAUGAGAGCUGCCUUUGGCCUUUGGAAACCGCCCUUUCUAAAGAUGAACCCUGUCGGGCCCCACCUGCUCGUACUUUCCAGGUAGGAUCCACGUGACUCCGGGCCCACAUGCAGCCGUCGGAUGUGCCACGUCGGAUUUGAGUCAUCGUUCUGAUCAUGUUCCAUUGUGCCAUAAAAGUGCCACCCACAUGUAUUCUCAUAUUUUAAUAGUGAAAAUAUUUUCAGCAUCAUUUUUUUAUGGGGUAAUUUAUUUUAUUCUCAUAAGGUGCGAUAUAAAAACUAAUUAUAUGAUUUAUAAAAACGAAAUUAAAUGAUGUCACAAGCGUGGAGGAAUUGUCUACUUCAAUAUAUGUUCUCCCACGUUAAAAUGCGUCUAUUCAAUUUUUCAUGGGACAUCAUCUUCAUCACAGCUCAUGAGAUUUAUAGCCAAAAUCCACGUGUUUUUCGAUUAAAAGAUCAAUUCUAAUUUCAUAAUGAACAUUAAAAUCAGAUUUUUAAUUUUUUUUAAAUUAUAUGUAAAAAUAAUAAAAUUGAAUCAGACUUUAUAUAUUAAUUAUUAAUUAAUGACGUCAUCAAAAUAUUUAUUAUUAUUUUUCAUCUAUAUAUGAUAAUUAACUAUGACCCACUUUAUCGCUUUUUACCUAUAUUUAAGUUAGACAAACAGUAACUAAACAUGCCUGAUGCCGCUAGUCCUAAUUAGUUGUUUGUUUGAAUUUUUUAAAGUGGAAGAAAUGGAAAGGGUGUUUAGGUCAUUUCCACGAAUUGCCACGGAUCCAAGGACGAUGGUGGAGUUAGAGUGUGGAGAGUGUAGAUCUCAAUACAGAUUAACAUGAAAUUUUGGACGUAAGUGGGUAAAAGCCUCGACGUACGUGUCGUCAGUUGUGAAUAUGAUUCGUUGGAUUUGAGUACCAAUGUGGUGAUUCUCUAGAAAGUUGACUACAAAAUAAAAAGUUGAUGUAAAGUUUGGACGGUGGGGAGUGCAGGCCAGAGUGGACCCUAUUUCUCUUACAUGAUUUUGGAGGGUUACCGUUGGCGAAUAGGGACAUGGCACGGGUGCUGCUGGGCCUACGUCACCAUGGGUUACGGGCCUAUGGCCCUUGUGUUCGGUUGACGUGGUCGGCCCCACUGUCUGAGCUGCUGGGUUUGAUCUGCAAAGGGUUCCUGUGGGUGGCCCACCAACUGAAUCAUUUAAGGCUUGGUGAGGUGGACCAAUGGGCUUCGAGUUGUGUGGGGCCCAUGAGGUAAACGGCUAUACUAAACCGUCGGAAAAAAAAAUUUUGGUGGGUGAACGGUUUAAACAAAAGUGAAAAUUGUUUCCUUUCUAUUCUUUCAAUUUCUGAAAUUAAAAUACUGAAUGUAUUUUUACCUUUUUAUUUUAAUUUUUAAUGAAAUUUAAAUAUAUUUAAUCGAAUUAAAAUAAACCCAAAUCACCGUUCAUUUCAGGCUUACACCUAUCUUACGGUUGCAGCCAUCCUAAGGUUUAAAUCAUAUACCCUUUCUUAGGUUUAUAUCUAGCAUCAACAUAUAGGUAGACCAAUAAUUUAUUUGACUAGAAAAAGCAAUUUGAUAAAAACGUAGGAUAGUGAAAUCAUACUUACUAAUAUAAAAGGGACCAUUAGGAGGAUCCCACAAGAUCCAAUCUAAUCUUGAUGGAUUGACAGUGAGUAAAGCCAUGAAGAACAAUAGGGAAUACAUGCUUUGGAGGCAAUCAAUCAGUGGAAAAAGCCAUUAGCUUACAUUUGAAACUUGAUGUUUUAUCAGUGCUUACCUCCAAGCAUGCAUUUUAAGAAAAAGCAUACUAGCUUGCAAAGAUUAGAGUGACACCAACCUGAUUCGAGGAGGCAACGCUGGUCCAUCAACCUCUAUCCAUGGGAAGCUUGCUUUUCUUUUCCCAAGUCCAAAUCAUGACUGGUCGGCGAUCACUUUUUUUCUUCUUUCCCUCUUUUCCUUUUUCCAAUCCGAGUUAGCAGCUAACCUGGUCCCUUGUAAAAGAGAUGCCUGAGAGGUGGGCCUUUUGAGAGGCAAAUGUCAAUCACUGUUCUCAAAAGAAAGUUUCAGCAACCAUGGGAAUUAGAGGAUUUACAGAAUCUUUUUAGUACAGAAGCGCCCACCAAAACUUCAUGGGUUCCCAAUUUCACGCACUCCUCUAAGGGGUAAAGAGUGUGGUAUAAGCCAUAACCUGUCUAUCAUUCUGUAAUAAAAAUAUUAAAUAAAUCACCUACCCAAACCUUAAAAGAGGAUGAGGACUUCUAAUUCCUACUUUGAAUUAAUGAUAAUACAUAUCCAAGGACGGUUCACCAACAAGCCAAUGCUACAACAUGUGAAUAUGAGGAUAUUUGCAGGAUGGGGAUAUAAGGAUUAAGAGAUCAAGCAAUUUUCUGGAGAUAAAAUAGUUAUUAAAACUGGAAAAUGUUGAAAAUUUAUCUGAUACACAAAUUAACUGUGAGACUGCAAUUAAGGUGAAUACUAUAAAGGUGAUUUCACCAGUUUUCUAUGACAAAGAGUUGAUAGCUGACUGGAAAGUUUCAGUUAAGCAGAAAACAUAAAGAGAACCAGGCGGUGCUUGAACCCUAUCUAUGGAGUAGCCAAUUCCAUGCAGCAAAAUAAAUUUCAGCUGACGAGUUUUCUCAACACUGCUUCAGCUCGCUGCUCGAAUUUGGGUAGGGCCCAUUCAUGCUGAACUAUGUCGAGACUGUCUUUCUCAGCACCCAAGCUCUGACAAGAAAAGUGGAAAAUUAUUAGGAUGGAAAUCAUUUUUCUGCUUUCAAGCCAUUCAUUAGUACUCUCUGAUAUCCUGUUUCAGUAAACAAAGGUGAAAAAGAAGUUUUGGGGGUUUUCCAAAGUUUAUUCUUAUUUCCAUUAUGAAUAAAAGAGAACCUUUGUGUUCUUUAGACCGUGAUUACAAUAACUAAUGAACAGAAAACAUUUAAAAACCUUUUUGUUUCUCUCAUCUGAUUUCACUAAUUUAUUAUCAUGCAAAUGAGACCAAAGUUCAGAAAUAUUUAGACUUAAUUCCAUAAUUCCUUGUUUUUUUCAAUAAGCAACAACAUUUUUAUGCCAUGGUCUUGGUUGGCAGGAAUAAGAUCUGAUUCAAUAAAAGGCAAAAAGAAACAAAAUUAGAUGAUAAUAUUAGAUGAGCAAGGAAAUCAAUCAGGCAACCAUAGGAAAGCUUCUUAAGAUGCAUCAACCUCCUAAAGGGUGGGAGUUACAAACUUGUAAGCAUGCCAAACAAUAGCCCUAAGACAACAUUCUCAAAGUAAAAUGGAAGCAAAAUAACCAAGGAUGAGGAUGGUAAAUGUUAACAUGGAAAACCCCUUAAAGUGAAGGGAAAAAGCACAGAACAAGAAGCAUGACUGUACUGUGAAAUAUGCAAGUAAAGGGGCAUUAAUCCUUUCCAGUGCAGAUGAUACCCCCAACGGCUCAACCUAAUACAAUCUAGCUGUUACAGGUGAACCACAAAAAGCAAUAGUGGUGAUUUUUUUUUUUUUUUGAUAGGCACAAAAAGCAAUAGUGGUGAUACAACCUCCAUAACCUAUUACCUAUCAAAAAAACAAAAAGAACCUCCAUAACCUGGCUCCAAGUCUUUAAUGAGUAGAACCCCUGUGACAUUAUCCUUUUUCCUUUUGAAAAAGGUCCCCUAAAAUGGAGGGUUAUUGGCUAACACUCUCAAUGAUGGUUUUUUAAGGCCAUCAUUGUAACAUAGACUGUUCAUGUGAUGAUGUUUGAUGUGGUAACAACUUUAUACUAGAAGAAUAUCAGAUGGCAUGAUGGGGUUUUUGUUGUCACUUCUAAAAGAGAAACAUCCUUUCAUAAACAUUAGCUUUGAUGUAAACUUGCUUUCAUCCCUUUUAGCCAUUGGUUGAGGCAUGAGAGAGAAUAAGCCUUGAUCUGCCAAGUAAUAACCGAAAUGGCAACCAUUGCCUAGCUCAAGUGACUCAUCAUUGCCUGCUUGCCCCACCACUGGCAAAUGGGCAACACAGGAUGAUUCCAUCUUUUUGGCAUUUGAGACACUUAUGAAUGCAGAAUAACCAUAACCUUCAAGACAUCUGACUUUCAUUGUCAUGCCUAGGUGUGCAAGACAUGAAGCACCUAUGAUGUGACUUGAGCAGCAUCAAAGGCCACCACCCUCAUUUAACUGAGCUGUGAAUGCCAAUAAAUGUCACCUUGUAUGGAAGGGCAAGAAGGCAGUGCAGAAGACAGCUUCCUUGAUCUUAGAUUCUUAAUAUAGACUUGUAAGAACAUUAACAGAAGAACAUUCAGAGGCAAGGAAGCAUCUUCAUUGAAAGUUGAAACAGAAACAAUGGAGGGUCAAUUGGCAUAGGCCCGAGAAAGCCAUUUUAUGUCAUUUCUAGAUAACUUGAAUUAUGUAGUGUAAUUUUUAGUACUUUGCUGUACCCCUUUUUUUUGUCUGCCUAUUUGUUGCAUAUACACCAAAUAUAACUGAGGUUACCACCUUUCCUUAAGUUGGUCUUUACUUAUAAAAGAAAGGCUAACACAAGAGAAGUCCAAUUUAUCUAGUCAGUCAAAGAAUGCAUGUCAAUCUGCAAUGCAGCAGCAUGAUAUGUCAUGGCCGUCCAAUGAACAAGACAUGUUAUCCAUACUCUUGAGCAGCCAUAUGGAGGGAAUGAAUAAAAGUUAUGAAGAAAAGUAAAAUUAUCCUUCUCUUUUCAGUGGAUGAAAAGUAUAACCCUCUCAUUUACAACUUAAUUGCUCUAUAAAUGUUGGAACGUAAUUGAAAAUUUAAAAAUGAGAUGGGGAAGGAUACAAAUCACUCUUCAUUCCAUUUUUUUCUGAUGGUUCUUGUCAAAUUUUUUAGGCAUUCUUUACACAAAUGAGAACAUUUCAACAGAUACAGAACAGGAAAAAAAUAACAUCUUAGUAGACAAGCAGACAUAUUAGCGCCAGACUGUACAAUAAGUCUAAGUCAAAUGCGAAUGCUGGCAUUAAAUUUCCCUCUAACACAGAGUCCAAUCUUCAGUAGGGCUAUGCACUACUCAUGAACAGAUAGAGCUGACCUAUCUCACCUACCUUGGCAUCUCCUUGUCCAUAGAGGGCCAAUCAGCCUAGAUUCUAGAAGCCUUGAUGAACCUAUGUUUCACAACCCGUAAUAACCUAACCAGUCAAAUGUUGAAUUCCUUUUACACUCAAUAGCAAAAGCCUUCCUUGAGCUCUAUCCCAAGCCAUUCCUUGAUAAAAUUUCAUCUAUCCCAUCAUUUUGGAAACUAAUAGCUCAUCUUUGUUGGAGGAGGUUCAACAGAAAAGUCACCUUAGAUCACUGGUUAACAUAUAGUAUAUGGUAAUGUGAAAAGCUUUUCUUGAUUUAACACUAGGCAUGACCUUGUUGUAAUGCCUUCUGAAACCAAAAGGGUAUAUGAGAUUUAUGUUCAUUUGAUUGGGUGUAAGAAUCCACAGCUGAUCAUGAACAAACAAAUGACAUCAGCUCCCCAGCAACACUAAACAAGCAUACUGUAAAAGGCCCAAGCUGGCUGGGAUCACAUAAGAGCUAGACACAUGAUUGAAAAAGCAUGGACCUUAUACUACUGUUGUUGGCAUGAAAGAAGCAGCACAUCGGUAAAAGGUGGUACCGAGGCAUCAAAGGCCCUUUUUUAAUUAAAAAACACAAGCAUUAGACAUCUAUUGUUUAUGCGUAUGUCGCAAAAGAAGGAGAUGAAACCUGACACUUGAUGCCAUGGUUGACAAAUGAGAACCUGUCAUGCCUUGGUGCCUAGGGAAUGAAAGCAGUCUAAACAUUCCAUAAUUUAAAACUAUGCAGCAUUUUCCAAUCUUACCCCUUUCCUUCACGGUGGGCAAUGGGAGAAGGAUUAAAUUUUGGAAAGACAAAUGGUGUGGUGAUGAGCUUUUGUGUGUCUUGUUCCCCUCCUUAUUUGCCCUAGCUAGCUGUAAAGAGGCUUGGGUGGCGGACUUGUGGAUGUACUCUAAUAAGAAGGGUGUUUGGAUUCCUAAUUUCUCUAGACCUCUCAAUGACUGGGAUAUUGAGACUGUGGAGUGCUUUUUUUCAAGGCUUCAAGAUAAGGCGGUGGAUGUGGAAGGGGAGGACAAGAUGUUUUGGGUGGCAACAAAGAGUGAAUCCUUCUCUAUUAAGUCCCUCUACUCUAUCCUUGAGGCAGGAAAGGUGGAGCCUUUUCCUUCAAGUGUAGUGUGGAAUGCAUGGGUUCCUCCAAAGGUGAGUUUUUUUUGCUUGGGAGACUUCGUGUGGAAAAGUUUUGACUUUAGACCAACUACAAAGGAGGGGUUGGUCUUUAGCCAAAAGAUGCUCCCUUUGUUAUGCUCAUGAGGAGUCAAUUGAUCAUAUCCUCUUGCAUUGUGGAAAAGUGAGGGUGUUGUAGGAGCUCUUGUUAUCUGUUUUAAGGGUGUCUUGGGUGAUCCAUUCUACAAUAAGAGAGACCCUUUUAGGGUGGCAUGACUCUUUUGUUGGAAGAAAGUGGAAAAAAGUUUGGAGAGCAACGCUUUUAUGCCCUUUUUGGAUAAUAUAGAAAGAGAUAAAUAGAAGAUAUUUCGAGAAGUGGAGUUCUCUAUUCAAAUGCUGAAAUUCUUGUUUUUGUGCAGCUUGUCAUCUUGGUCUAAUUUGUUUAUAAAAAAAUACAAUUAUGUCCUUAGACAAUUUUAUUGAUUGGUUGGUGUCGGAUUGAGGGAAUUAGCAUUUUUGUUUUCCUUAUCCCUUUUGGCACUCUUUGGCGGUCGUUGUAUAUACUGUGUACUUUGGUAUGCCCCUUUUGGCACUUUUUGACGACUGUUGUAUACACCGUGUGUACUUUAGUGCGCCUCUUUUGGUUCUUUUAUAUUAAUACUAUUGCCAUUUACUUAUCAAAAAAAAUUCCAAUCUACCCCUUGGAAGCUCCAUACUGGAAUCACUAAAUCCUUAGGGCAUAUUUCUAAAGGGAAAUAAUCCAAUCCUCAAGACAAGAAACCAAUGCUUUGAAUUCCUCACAGGUUAAGUGGCCACCCACUCCAAUCAAACCCCCAAAUAAAAACUAAAAAUAAAUAAAAUAAAAUAAUAAUAAUAAAUCCAUAGCUCAUACAAAUCACCUCCUACUACAAAAGAACACUUAAGACAUACACCAUCAGGGCACACAGGAAAACCUCAACUUAUCACAGACUACAGUACAUAAUCCUAUAGGUUUUUUACCUUCUGCUUUUUUUUUUUUUUUUUAAAUUUUAGGGCAUUUUCACAUACUUGUGCAGUGCUGUUUCAUAUAAAAUGAAAGAGAAUAAAUAGUGGCUGUUACUAUGUGACACCGAGUAACCACAGGGAAAAUAAUAUACCUUUGUAGGAUCAACGCCGAACCCACUCAUUUGCAUCAUACGCUGGGUAUCAUCUGUGGCUGUAUCAAAACAUCAUAUCAGCCUCUCAUGAAUUGAAAGAGGGUUUAAUCUUUUUUUCUUAAAAAAACGUAUAAAGUCUAAAGAGUACUUUGAAAAGGAGGAGAAAAGAGAGAUAAAUCAAAUAGUUAUCACACAGUUGGCCAAAGCAUCAUCUUAGAGUUUAUAAACCAAUACAAACCAUUUUCUUCUCCCAGAAUGAGACUAAAUAAACCCCUUAAUCCGAACAGGUUGAGGAAGUACCUGAUAAAAGAUUACAGCAAAUUAGAAGACAUUCAGCCCAGUGUUCUAAAGGUUAAUAUCAAAUUCAAAGCAAAAGAUUUGACAGGCUGGAAGUAAUAGCUUUCUUGUUCUUGAUAUUAAGCAAGUACCAUGAGCGACUGCUGACAUAGCUAACAUCUACAGUGCUCAAAUCAAUUCCAUUUUGUAACAUGGAGCGAAACCUCUGAGUCAAGGGGAAAGGUAUCUUGGCUGGGGAAAAAAAUAACAGAUUCAGAUUCUAAUAAUGUUGAUAUAAACUUGCCUAUCUAAAAAAUAAUGUUGAUAUAAACAAUUAUACGGAAAAGUGAAGAUCAAUACAGCAAAAGAAUAAAUAUAGGAAUAUUAAAGACUGAUAUUCCAAAAAUUGUUGUAUAUGCAAAAAGAAUGUCCUGAUUCUGGAAAGGAGCAAUUGAAAAAAAAAAGGGAAAAAGGAACAAAUGGACUGAGUAUUGAUAGAAAUACACAAGAAAAGUAAUAGAUUGAUAACAUAACAAGCAAUUUGAGCCUGAAAAAAAUGAGCAAGUGAAGAGCAAUAAACAAAAAGCAUAAAGCCCCAUCUCAAGAAAACUCAAGGUUCAUCAAAUAGAUAAAUGAAACAACUCAGAAAGCCUGAACUUGAUAAAGAGGUAAAAAAAAGAAAAACAGACCUGCUACAAAUCCAGAGAAGAAAAAGUUAACCCAAGCAAAAGUAAGAGUCUGUCCACAAGGGUAAAAAACGGUAAUUAAUGGUUAGUCAUCUGAUCUAUUACAUUAAAGAAUAGCAACAGAAAACACCGACAGCAAUACCUGGGGAAUGAUCAUUGAAAGGUUCUUCUUCAUCAUAUCCAUAGCCAUGUUUGGAUCAGAGAACAUUUGUGCCUGAGCAUUUUGCGCCUGACCCUUAGGAACAUGCAGUAAUCCAUUUUCCUGCCAUGGUCAAGCAAAUGUGCAUAAAUGGCAUUAGAAUAACCCACAAGAGAAGGCACACUGCAAGCUAGCUUCAGUGUAUGCACUCCCUCAAAAGACCUGGCUUCUAUGAGUUAUUACAAUUGAGGCAGCCCAUAAAGCAAAGCCAGCCAAAAGAUACACUAAAAACAUGAAUUUAGAGUGAUACACAUUAGAUCCACAAAAGUAUGUUGACAUGGCUAUGAGAAAAGGAUGAAAUUUGUAUUUAGUUCGGGUUUAAUCAGCAACCGAUAUUUUGUGUUACAAUGUCAUCAGUUAAUGUCUCACACCACGUCCGUAAGGGCCUUCAUUUAUCCUUCUAGAUUCUUUCACCUUGAACUACACCAACGAGUUGCAGUCAAAGAAAAGGAAUAAUGCUCAUUUGGCAUGUCAAGAACCAAACCAGGUCUUGAAUGAGGAAGCACUCAAACCAUCUUGAUGAUUGCAGAUCCAUGGAUGUUGUUAUAACCUUAAUACCUAUGCUCAAGUUGGAUAGUAUAUAUGUAGUGGAGCAUCCAGACCCUGUUCACACCUGUAUAUUGAACAGAUGUAUGCAUGCAUGAACCCAGCUUGCUGGGUUGGACCCAUCACAACCAGAUGGGUUGGACCAAAACAUUUGCCACACCCAAUUUUCUAUAACCUUGUACUAGUGUUACAUCUUACACCCAUGAGUUCAUUCUUUUCCUAUUCAUUUUUUCUUGCCUUGCUACUCAUCAAUCUCAACGUUUCAUUCCAAUUACACUCACUUUAUGCACAUAUUGUUUCAUAACAGCUUAAUACAUUCCCACAAAAAACAGUUGGCCUUAUAAUUACCACAUAAUUUUCCGUUCAAAUUGGGAAGCAUGGAUUCAACCCACAACAUGCUAGGAGCAACUCUCCACUUCAUCCAUCCUGUUCUAGUUCUGUGAGUAAUGUCUGCUUUGUUAUGGUCAUUCUCAGAAGCACAAAUCUUCACUAGACACUCAUUCCUACUCAUAAUUUAUUAAUUUCAAAAUGUACAUCCUAGAGCUCCAUCUUCCGCAUCAAUCCUUGAAAGGUUUAGACUUCAUUUGGUUCCGAGAAAGAACCAAACUGAGGAUAAAAAAAAAUUAACAGCUAAAACAGUAAGAGUGAGAAUAAGAACCAGACAACAGUUGGCGAUUCUUGCCAGAAAAGUUUGCAUAAACUAAACACAAAAGCAUGAAUCAAUGAAAAGAAAAUUUCGAAACGUUAGCUUUUGAUUUUCUUUUCUUUCCUUUUUCCUCCUAUAAUUAGUAAUGACCAUCCUGAUUCAGUAAUCAAAACCUAAACCUUUUCAUCAGUAUCACAUCAAUUUUCUAGUCAAAACCAUCAACAAAAAUUUUAUUAAUUUUUUUUAAAAAAAAAAUAAACGUACAGACACACAAACCUCGUUAUUGAAGUAAACUUUCCUAGCACGAAACGACUUGGCCGGAAUGUAAUUCGCCGCCGCCCGCAAGUUUCGAGCCCUAACAAUCACCUGCCUGAAAUUAAAAAAAAAAAAAAUCAAAUCAGACACAUGAAAUCACAGGAUUAGAUUACGCUAACAUGCAGGAGCUAGGGUUUCUAACCCUUCUCUAACGAUUUUGGAAUCGGGCACUUGAGAGGAUCGCAUGAGCUUGGAGACGAAAUAGCGGAGCACCCCGAUGAGAACCAUCACCACCGACAGUGGUAUAAGCACCCAAUCUCUGAUGGCCGUGUCCAACACCAGAUCUUCCGCCAUUGUUUCCACACACAGCUUCAGCCCUCACACGAAUCGUCAAUAUUAGGCUUUUCCACUUCUAAACGACGCCGUUUCAUUGUAUUACGAACGACGUCGUUUCAAUAUUUAUUCAGCUUAUGAAUUACCCAAACAGUCCCUAGUAGUUAUACACUAAAAAUUAAAACCAUAUUAAUUAUUUAUGAUUAAUAUUUAUAAUUUAUUAUCAAUUUUCUAUAUAGUUUUAAAAAUAAACCUGUUUGAUAUUGAAGCAUGAAAAUCAAUUUACAUCUUUUUAAUAUUUAAAAUGCAUUAAAUAAUACUUUAAGUUUAAUAUAAUAUAAAAUAUAUUUUCAGAAAAUUAAAGGGUUAAUCAAAAGAAAACUAAGGGAAAGAGUAUUAGGCUUUAAUCCUAAUUAGAUUGAUACAUAUUAUUGAUUAAUUAUCUAAUAAUUAACCCUUUUAAUUUAUUGGUAACUUAACCCAAAACCUUAACCUAGACCACCAAUUUCACACUCUUAUAGAUAUUACUAAGGUUAUAAAUAUGGCCAUGGCCCAUUUGAAAAUUUUAAGCUUGGUCGAGGUUGGAAUGAUUUUUUAACCCCAAACAUGUUAAAUCUCCUAAGAAAUUUAGAAUCUGUUUGAUAGUAAUUUUAGCAGACAUUUUUAACUCUUUUAAUACUUGAAAGAUAAAAACUUUCAUGCAUUAGAAAUGUUAGAAACACUCCGAAUAAUCACUACAAAAUAUAUUCUUAAUAUUUUGAAAUAUGUAAAGCACUAUCAUUAAAACUAAGCUCUUUUCACGUGUAUAAGUAAAAUAAUUAAAUUUUGGAUCUCAAGUUCAGAUUAAAAGUGUAAGUAAAAAAAAAAAACAAGAACUUAAUUAAAUUAAUUCAUUUUUCAACAAUUGCAAAUUUUAAAAUUUUGAAAAUUAAUUAUAUCAGUUUAGUUUUUGUUUUCUUGUUUCCAAACUCCUAACAAUUGAACCAAAUCAAUAUUAAAAAACUUUCAUUUCUUGUAAUUUAUAAUUAUUUAUUUGAUAAUUUAUUUUAUAUUUACUAAUAUAUAUAUAUAUAUAUAUAUAUAUAUAUAUAUAUAUAUAUAUAGUGACUCUAUUAAAAUAAUUCAUUAUUAUUAUACUAUUAUCGUAUUAAUAUUUAAAUACAUCCAUUAUAUUUUAAAUAUAUCUUGAACUUCAAAUUCUAAGUAAAUUUUAAUUACUUUUAAAAACAAAUUGAAAUAAACGUAUAAAUUAAUUUGCAUCCAAUUGAUCAUAUAAACCAAACCAACCUUAAACAAACUUGAUUGGUUGGUUUUUCUAUCACUAAAAGAUGAAUUCAACUAAUUUUUUUCCCCAAAAACCAACUGAACCGGGCCAUUUUACAAUCAACUCAAAAGACUAGCAUGGGCCAAGCCAUAAAGGCAACCCGAGUCCAGCCCGAACCCAAACUAUGAGGCCGGACCACACAAGCCUGGAUAUAAGUAUAGCAUAAUGGCCUAUAAAGCUUAUUGCAAAACACAAGUUAAGCAUCUUCAGCGCUACAAGCUUCUUCAUUUCUU